GGAGGGGGAUGACACAGAGAGUAGAGGGAUAGAGUCAGAGAGAGAGAGAUGGCAGGAUAAGAGAGAGGGAUAAGGCAGAGGGAAUGACACAUCCAUCCCUCCCUGACACAGGGAGAGAGAGAGAGAGAGAGAGAGAGAGAGAGAGAGAGAGAGAGAGAGAGAGAGAGGGAGAUUAUUUUGUUCCGAUUCUUUAAUAGAACCUCUUUAUCUCUGUUGCAUCUGUGCUGUUGGUGAUCUCUGACAUGGUUUCCCUCCACUGGACCCUGUGUUUCCUUCUAGCGUCGGCCAUUUUGUCUUAAUAAUAGCUUCUGUUGUUGUGAAGUCGUGUGGAACGAUGGUUUGGGUACAGAAGCUGCAUUGAGGACUUCAGUAUGAGGCAAACUCAAUCUCGGCUUGCGCCUCACCACUGCUCCAUCCACUCACCAAGUCUAUUCAUCUGUCUGUUUCCUUUUGCUAGCAGACUUUCUCUCUGAGAUUUCUGAACAACAGAGGUGGAUAAAGAUGAGACUUUCUUUUCUUCUUCUCCUCUAUCCCCGUCUCUCUCUCUCUCUCUCGUGGCUCUCUUGUGACACGGGAGGAGCAGUGGGUGGGAUCUAGGGUGAGUCAGUCAAAUUUCUGGUGUGUGUGUGUGUGUGUGUGUGUGUGUGUGUGUGUGUGUGUGUGUGUGUGUGUGUGUGUGUGUGUGUGUGUGUGUGUGUUUUCAUCUGUUAUGAUAUCUUGUAUGUUCUUAUUUCAUUUCCAGUUUGUUGUGCUAUUCUGAACCUGUUGUUACUCAUAAGAGUGACUCCCUUUCUUGGGUAGCAAACCAUCACUUUAUAAAGUAUAAAACCCUUCAUUCCAUGGUAGUAUUGUUAUCAGAAUUGUUAGUUGUUGAGAAAUUCCCACUAUAAACAUUGUAUUAUUAGCUCGGAAGGGGUCAGUUUGAACAUAUUGUACAACAGUCGAUGUCUCCAUACUAGUUACUGUAGUCAUAAAAAUGGCUCCCCAUUAAUCCACAUUGUUAGUCACGACCAACCCCUCUUAAAGAAUGUAUACAAACGUUCCUUGGAACUACUAUCAACAUUCCUUAGAAUAGCUAUUGUUAAAGGGCAUCCAAAUCAAGAUAAAGAGAAAAUUACCGGAAUUCCUAGGGACCACUACCAGAUUGGGAAGAAAUUCCUUGUUAUGAUUGCAAAAUCCCCAUCAGCAAUACAUUACCAUUUUUGGAAGGAUUCAUUUGGAACACACAUUGUACAGCAGUCAGUGUCUGCGUCCCGAAUUGCACUCUAUUCCCUUUUUUGUAAGAUUGUAUUAUUUAUUUAUUUUAUUUUUUAAACAAUACAAGACAUACAUACACAAACAACGACAUCACACCUGCCCAGACCCACCUCCUCACACACCCAUCUCCAGCGCCAGCAUCACUCUCCGCCAUACGGCCUCAAACUGCACCAACAAGAUCCCACACUGAAGGAGGGAAAAAGGGCUGCCUAAGUAUGAUUCAAAAUCAGAGACAACGAUAGACAGCUGCCUCUGAUUGGAAACCAUACUAGGCCAAUUCAAGAAAAAGACAACAUAGAAAUAUAUCACAUAGACUGCCCACCCCACACCCUGACCUAACAAAAUAGAGAAAUAAAACGUCUCUCAGGUCAAGGCGUGACAGUACCCCCCCCAAAGGUGCGGACUCCCGGCUGCAAACCUGAACCUAUAGGGGAGGGUCCGGGUGGCAUCUACCCAUGGUGGC
rnacentral:lncRNA from 1 species